UACGUAGGGUGCGAGCGUUAAUCGGAAUUACUGGGCGUAAAGCGUGCGCAGGCGGUUCGUUGUGUCUGAUGUGAAAGCCCCGGGCUCAACCUGGGAAUGGCAUUGGAAACUGGCGAGCUAGAGUGUGGCAGAGGGGGGUGGAAUUCCGCGUGUAGCAGUGAAAUGCGUAGAGAUGCGGAGGAACACCGAUGGCGAAGGCAGCCCCCUGGGCUGGCACUGACGCUCAGGCACGAAAGCGUGGGGAGCAAACAGG
rnacentral:rRNA from 1 species